AAGAAAGAAUUAGAUUGGCUGAUGUUGAUGGCCUUGUAGAAAAAUAUUCUGAGAAGCGUCUGGAAAUUGUGGGCACCUUUGCCUGCAUAUCUCGUGGCUGGCUGCCUCUGUAUGCUGUGGUUCCUUUUUUUGACUUCUUUGACCCAAAGGCAUCUGGAAUCUCUUGAAAGCAUUAAUUACGCCUUCCGCUCUUUGCACGGAGGAGGACCCGUGUGGUCGUCACCAUGGCAGGACAUCUCAGCUCUCUGGGAAAGAGCACUGGACCAGAGCCAGGCGACGGGGUGCCAGCUUCAGCUCUUGCCUAUACAGCGGUUCUUGGGCAAAUGCCCUAACCAGAGUCUUGGUUUUCUUAUGUUACAAUUUGGAGAAACAAUAAUGAAAUUGUAGACCUUGUGAAGUACUUGCUGGUGUCAGAUAUUGAGGGCUACAUCUGCUUUAUCUCAGGAAGCCAGCAUGAUACCUCAGGGGGCAGGUACAAAAGGGGGUCCAUUUUGCAGAUGAGAAAACUAAGUCCUG
ensembl:lncRNA